rnacentral:rRNA from 1 species
CCUACGGGAGGCAGCAGUAGGGAAUAUUGCUCAAUGGGGGAAACCCUGACGCAGCAACGCCGCGUGGAGGAUGAAGGUUUUCGGAUUGUAAACUUCUUUUGUUAGAGAAGAUAAUGACUGUAUCUAACGAAUAAGCACCGGCCAACUCCGUGCCAGCAGCCGCGGUAAUACGGAGGGUGCAAGCGUUACUCGGAAUCACUGGGCGUAAAGAGCGCGGAGGCGGGAAAGCAAGUCAGAUGUGAAAUCCUAUGGCUUAACCAUAGAACUGCAUUUGAUACUGUUAUUCUAGAGUAUGGGAGAGGUAGGUAGAAUUCUUGGUGUAGGGGUAAAAUGCGUAGAGAUCAAGAGGAAUACUCAUUGCGAAGGCGACCUGCUAGAACAUAACUGACGCUGAUGCGCGAAAGCGUGGGGAGCAAACAGGAUUAGAUACCCCAGUAGUC